rnacentral:rRNA from 1 species
UACGUAGGGGGGCUAGCGUUGUCCGGAAUCAUUGGGCGUAAAGCGCGCGUAGGCGGCCCGGUAAGUCCGCUGUGAAAGUCCAGGGCUCAACCCUGGAAAGCCGGUGGAUACUGCCGGGCUAGAGUCCGGAAGAGGCGAGUGGAAUUCCUGGUGUAGCGGUGAAAUGCGCAGAUAUCAGGAGGAACACCGACGGCGAAGGCAGCUUACUGGGCCGAUACUGACGCUGAGGAGCGAAAGCGUGGGGAGCGAACAGG